rnacentral:rRNA from 1 species
AGAGUUUGAUCAUGGCUCAGAACGUACGCUGGCGGCACGCCUAACACAUGCAAGUCGAACGAAGUAGCAAUACUUAGUGGCAGACGGGUGAGUAACAUGUAGGUAUCUACCCUUUGGCCCGGAAUAACACGAGGAAACUUGUGCUAAUACCGGAUAAGUCUUUACGGAGAAAGCUUUAUGCACCAUUGGAUGAGCCUGCACUUGAUUAGUUUGUUGGUAGGGUAAUGGCCUACCAAGACUUUGAUCAAUAGCUGAUUUGAGAGGAUGAUCAGCCACAUUGGGACUGAGACACGGCCCAAACUCCUACGGGAGGCAGCAGUGGGGAAUCUUGCACAAUGGAGGAAACUCUGAUGCAGCGAUGCCGCGUGAGUGAAGAAGGCCCUUGGGUUGUAAAGCUCUUUCGUCGGGGAAGAAAAUGACUGUACCCGAAUAAGAAGGUCCGGCUAACUUCGUGCCAGCAGCCGCGGUAAUACGAAGGGACCUAGCGUAGUUCGGAAUUACUGGGCUUAAAGAGUUCGUAGGUGGUUGAAAAAGUUGGUGGUGAAAUCCCAGAGCUUAACUCUGGAACUGCCAUCAAAACUUUUCAGCUAGAGUUUGAUAGAGGAAAGCAGAAUUUCUAGUGUAGAGGUGAAAUUCGUAGAUAUUAGAAAGAAUACCAAUUGCGAAGGCAGCUUUCUGGAUCAUUACUGACACUGAGGAACGAAAGCAUGGGUAGCGAAGAGGAUUAGAUACCC